UACGGAGGGUGCAAGCGUUAUCCGGAUUCAUUGGGUUUAAAGGGUCCGCAGGCGGGGCCGUAAGUCAGGGGUGAAAGCCUGCAGCUUAACUGUAGAAUUGCCUCUGAUACUGCGGUUCUUGAGUUCGGUCGGCGUGGGUGGAAUGUACGGUGUAGCGGUGAAAUGCUUAGAUAUCGUACAGAACACCGAUCGCGAAGGCAGCUCACGAGGCCGAUACUGACGCUCAGGGACGAAAGCGUGGGGAGCAAACAGG
rnacentral:rRNA from 1 species